AGACGCACCCGCAUAGCAACAGCACCACAUAGACACCCACCCUCCUGCGUCCCAGUUUCCCUCCACGCAGCCAAAUUUUCUGCCAACUGCCAGUCGACAACAAACCAGAAAUAAACAAACAGACGAAAAACAAGGGCUGGUUCAAUUUUUGGGAGAAAAACUUAAAAAGAGAGGAAAAAGAUGGCUAAAGCAAAAGCUGCAGGAGCUGGCGGAGCUGCUAAGGCGAAACCCGCCAAGGUCAAGAAGCCAAAGGGCAAGGCGAAGGCCAAGAAGCCAAAGGCGAAGGUCGCCAAGAAGGCAAAGUCCCCGAAAGCACCCAAACCAAAGACCACCAAGAAGGCGGCGUCCUAAAAUGUGGAGAUCUCUACUUUCAAACUUUCGAGGCGCACUCUUAAUUACUUUUUCCAGUACAAAUAACAGAUUUUCUGUUCCAAAUUUCACCAAAUUUUAUUCCACGAGUGUCGCUUAGGUUAGGGGAGAAAAAUAAUAAUUAGAAUCUAAGCAGUGUUUCCCGAUAAUAAGUAGGUAGAAUUUUAUCCAGAUUUUUCGAGAAAUCAAAGUUUUUAAGCUUUACUGUCUUUUUAAAUGGAUUGUUUUGUAUCUGUAUUUACAAAAUUUGCUGUUUAAUUGCUAAAUUAUUUAGGGAGAAAGUGUAUCUAAUUGGUAUCUAGUUUUUAAGCUAAAUUCUAAAUUUUAUGGAUGUGUUUCUAAUCUGGAAGAAAAAUUGGCAUGGUUCGAUUCAUAAAUAAACUCUUUGUUUAGAAAAUCA